UACGCCUCCGAAUAACCACACGGUUAAUUUAACCCCGUGUGGUUCAGACAGAGGCGAAUAUCGAUUUUUGGAUUUAACACUUCUAAAGUGUUAAAUCCCCGAAUAGGUUUGAUAGUACGGAAUACUU
rfam:Lupinus angustifolius cultivar Tanjil contig_26976, whole genome shotgun sequence.